rnacentral:rRNA from 1 species
AUGCCCACAACACAACUUAUGCAGAGAGCAAGUGAUCAAUUGUUCUUUCUUCCUUUUGUCCUAAUCACUUCUGCAAAAGGGACUGAUGCAGAAGUAAAGCGUUUCAAGGCAAAUAAAUCUAGUGAUGAGAAUGGUAGUUUCAGAAAAGGUGUUGAAGCUGAUUCAAGAAGUGCUAGUAAGGUUGUUGAUCAAAAUACUCCGCCACCAAAGCAAGAUUUCAUCCAAGUGAGGGCAAGAAGGGGUCAGGCAACUGAUAGCCAUAUCCUUGCAGAAAGGGUCAGUUCAAUGCAUAGUUUUCACUUCUAUAGUAGAAUUUAUCAUGCACACGUUACACACAGCUUGACGAAAUAUCCACUGAUCUACUAUCAUGCAUGUACCUCAAGACUGAAGAACGACGACUUGAGACUUGUGGUUGCCCGGCCUUGGCUGUCGUUUCACGUCUCCUAG